GAGGUACUCCCUCCGUUUGGAAUUAUUUGUCCUGAAAUGGAUGUAUCUAGAUGUAUUUUAGUUCUAGAUACAUUCAUUUUCGAGACAAGUAAUUCGGAACGGAGGGAGUACAUA
rfam:Triticum aestivum genome assembly, contig: Triticum_aestivum_CS42_TGACv1_scaffold_513208_6BS